rnacentral:rRNA from 1 species
AAUAUUGGACAAUGGGCGCAAGCCUGAUCCAGCCAUGCCGCGUGUGUGAAGAGGGCCUUCGGGUUGUAAAGCACUUUUGUUGGGGAAGAAAAGCCAUGGGCUAAUACCCUGUGGUUCUGACGGUACCCAAAGAAUAAGCACCGGCUAACUUCGUGCCAGCAGCCGCGGUAAUACGAAGGGUGCAAGCGUUACUCGGAAUUACUGGGCGUAAAGCGUGCGUAGGUGGUUUGUUAAGUCUGAUGUGAAAGCCCUGGGCUCAACCUGGGAAUUGCAUUGGAUACUGGCGGGCUAGAGUGCGGUAGAGGAUGGCGGAAUUCCCGGUGUAGCAGUGAAAUGCGUAGAGAUCGGGAGGAACAUCCGUGGCGAAGGCAGCCAUCUGGACCAGCACUGACACUGAGGCACGAAAGCGUGGGGAGCAAACAG